rnacentral:sRNA from 1 species
GCCGGGUGUGGUGGUACAUGCCUGUAAUCCCAGUGACUGAGGAGGCUGAGGCAGUAGUAUCACAGUUUGAGGCCAACUUCAUCAACUUAGUGAGGCCCUCAGUAACAGUGAGACUCUGUCUCAA